UGUCACCAUGACAACCAGAGCUCCCAUUCACAUGUGGAGAAUGGUGAGUCACUCGGACAAGUAUCAGUGAAUGCCUGGCCUCCCAAGAAAAUAUCUGUGGGAUGUGACUCCAGGCCCUUGUUCCUGAAGAGCGUUCUUCCACUGGGCCUCUUCCAAAUGACUCUCCACGUGUGAUUCAUUUAACUGGUCACUCCAGCAAAGGCCUGGGACCCAGAAACAAAGCUUUGUUGGCUCGGAUGUUCUCCUCAAGAAAUUGUGUCUAUUUCUGCAAAGAAAUGAGCAUUGUCUCUGAUACGGGCACGUUUAAAUCAAGAACUAUUUAAUAAGCAACCAAGACAUUUUAUUUGUUAUAACUUAGCUCAACCAGGAAAAAAAAUGGAAAUGGAUGAACUAACAACUGAAACCUUUAGAGUGAACCUUAUCCGAUUACCAACCUGGGAUUUUGUCACUGGGAGAGAUGUGCUUGGACAAGAGCAGGAGUCUAGAAGAUUCUGAAGCUGGAAGAACCUGGUGAGGCUCCCUCCUGGGUAAGGGGCUCUGGUGGUGAGCAGCCUUAUUCUUCUCCCAAGAAAGGGCAGGCCCCCAGCUAACACAGUUUUGCCAUUGGGAGGCAAGCCAACUGCUAUUAAUGAGUAAGCAGAAAGCCCUCAUUCAGUCUACAUGAAAAAAAAGAGUGGGAUUUAGAAGAACUCUGACAUUAAUACUGUAUCCAAGAGGCAACAACUCUGGAGAAAACUUAGAAGCGACGGGUGAGGAGGGAAGACUGGCUCUCAGAUCUUUCAUCAAGAUGGAAUAUAGGUAAAGGAGUGAUGGAAGGCCUAGGAGGGGGAAAUCAGAAGAGCUGAGCAGAAAAGAAUGUGUGUCAGAGGUUAGAAAAUGAUGACUUGGGAGGAAUACGGGGCCUUGGGAAGGAGAGAAGCAAUCGAAAACCUCUCUGGGGAAUCACAAGCCUUUGGAGCAAGAGGUGCAACUGUGUGUAGGAUGGAGCUCUAAAGAGGGUGCCUAAUGUGCACACCAACGACCAAUCAACAAUAGUUUGCUGCUGUAAACCUGUAUCUAUCCAUGGAGAGGGUGAUUGGACUUUAAUAGCAGUCUGUCUGUGUGGACCUCGUUGUUCAAGGAAUCUUUAGUUGAAAGGCAUUUUCCAACCAAGUGGUCACUAUGACAUAUAUGUCAGCAUCUGUCAACUGCUAACCUCUGUGGUUUUAGAGAAGAGCACAGAUAAGUACCCAAGCUGUUCCUUUGAUCACACUGGAGUGGAUAUCCUGUAGCUGUCUUUCAAGUGACUCAUGGCCAAGUCAAUCAUCCAGUACUAGGCAGAAACCAUCAGGUCGAAGUCUCAUCAAAGGGAGAUCCAAGGUGGUGAGCCAGAAGUCACCACCAAAGCCACAGGAAAACCCUGGCACACAGGAAGUGUUGGAUGUAGUGUGGGAAUACAGAACGUACAUGGAAAAUUAAGAUAAAACACAGAACUGCAAAUAAAUGUAUGCUUUUAGUUGAUUGUCAUUGGCUGUACCUCCAGAAUCCCAAAUCCCAAUAGUAGCUCUCUGAGAAAAAGUUUAAAAUACUCUGCCUUAUGAAAAUAUAAGGAUGUCACGCCUAGCCUAAUAUCCUAUAGUCUCAUUUUCCUCACUUCUUUCUUCAUGGGAAAAUCAAAUAUCAUGUGUUAUCAUAGACACUGAGAAAAAGGUACAAUGUCUAAAUAAAUACAUGAGAACUAAUCCAAAAUAUAAGAGAAAGAGUUUAUGGAAAGAUGGAAUUAAAGGAUAAAAUUAUGAACUUUAUUUCUCAACAUGAGCUCUAUCAAGUUCAAAGCACUUUUGUAAGCAAUGAUAUCAGUAUUCAAUCCAUCCCUAGAGAACAGGAGGUCCUGGGAAUUUAACCAUAUGUAUGAAGUCUUUUUAAAUGUUAUUAAUUGGAGAAAAAUGGGUGCUCUUUUUAAUAAGUCUGAAGAAACCAAAUAAAGACUGGAGAGUGGAUGCCUACUGAUUUCCUUUUGAAAGUCUCAUCAAUUUGCCUUUACUUGAUGAGAGAAAUGAGCAGGGACAUUGGCAUGGUGGAGAAGGAUUCUUUUGGAAAGCUUUCCCAGAUACCUUUCUACUGAAGUUUUGGCUGACUUCUGGAAAGCACUCUCAUAAUCAGAAGAUAUUAUUUAUCUUCUGUCUCUGCUGAGAGUCAACAGGUAAAAUGCCUUGGGCAUCCUGAACACUGUUGCCAUGGCCUUUACUCUUGACCGGUCUGCUCUGGCUUUGACUGGACCACUUCCACCUCUCGGUAGCCAUUGCUUUGAUUGUGCUUUGUCUUCGGGAUCAACUGGCAAAGCUUCAUUCCAUCUCCUGUUACAAGUUUUGGAAGAAAUGCUUCUGAAUCUCAAUCCCACUUGUUUAAAGUUUCCAUGGAAAGCUCUGCUCUUCUCUGCAACUGACCUGGACAUGACAAUUUUGGCACCCAUCAAGCAGAUGUCUUCAGCUUCUUUCUUACUUCUUGGAUCCACUGGGAGCCCAGGGGUCUGAGCCUGGCUCACGCCCAUGUUAGAGGAUCUCCCAAAGCUUUGCAGGCUGGCAUGGCAGCUCCUGAGACACCAUGACAUAACACGACCUGCUCACAUAUGACCUACUGCUUCCUCCAGCCCAGUUAAACCCCCACCAUUUAGGACAACUCCCUUUCCUAGCCUUAGAUUGUUUAUUUAUUUAUUUUUACGAAAAUGUGAAACCAAGUGGGUUAUUUGCCAAUUAUCAGCUGAUUUUUUUUUUUCACUACUGAACACUGAGUCUUCUCCCUGUGAUCUCUUCCUCCUGCCACAAGCCCUGGACCAUCACUGCCUCUCAGGAUCCAGAACUCCUUCUCCAAGACCACGUUUAACUCUACUAUGAAACCUUUCCCCAUCCUCCCUCUCUGGUGGGUCCCUUGCCCUUUGCAGCUCUGUGACAGCAAUCAUACCCCGCUACGGACUUUGAACCCUGCUAUUUUGCCUGUUAGAUCUCAACUUGUUGGCCUUGGGCAAGCAAUCUAAGCACCUAAACUUCGAUGCCCUUAUUUACAACAUGGGGCUAGCAGCCAUGUAUUCUUCAUAGGGAUUGUUAUCAGAAUUAAGUGAACUUAUGCAAGUGUACAGUUUGACACAUAAUGAGUGUUAGUUGCCACUGGUAACAAUAAUAUAAAAUAAAUAGCCUCUCACUUACUAAAUCCUCUUAUGAUCUCCUUCCAGCUUCUGAGACAUCUCCCAGCUUCCUUCUUUGUAUUUAGCUCCUCCCCAUGUGUCAAGAUCAUCUGUCAAAAUACUGACGUGUGAGCCCCACCCUCCAGAAAUGCUCCCUCAGUGGGUGGGGCCCCGGCAUGCCUCAUCUCUGUUCCCGACGCGCCUCUCAUGCAGAGCCGGGCUGGAGAAGCCUGGCGUGCCACUGCCAUUUGCCAUUUCUGUCACACAGCCUCUUUCAGCCCUUCAUUUCCAGAGCAAAGCACUAUAAUUUGGAGGGCGCCAACGCCAGGACAUCCCACUGUUAAUGCCCAGAGGUGAACAUUUCCCCUUGUUUCUAAAUCCCCCAUGGCCGUUCCCGCCCAGCUCCCGUGGGUGACUAUUUUUAAUACCUCUUGGGUUUCCUUUUUAUUUCUGUCCCAGUAAAGGGCUUGUUUGGGAUAACUCACUGCACACAACGCUACGUAAUAAAAACACAAGGCAGAGGUGAGUAGUGGGGGGUGAUGAAUACAUAACCCGUCCCCACCCCAACUCUCCAGUCCCCGUUUCUCUUCUCUAGCUCAUUACUUGAUCCCAGUGGCCAUGAGUGGGCAGGGGCAAGGAGAGGGCACCCUGGGGGACGGUCUGCUUGCCUGUGCCAGACAGUAGACACACCGACAACUGGGCUCUUAGAAUAACAAGCAGAGAGUAAUUGCUGAUAGAGAGAUGUCGAUUCCCAUUUCUUGCCCUCUAGCCUUUUAAAAACUUUUGUUCAAAGUUAUAUGUAUAAAGCUCAUAGUUCUUACUGGGCAUUGAAUUUCAACGGGAAGUGAGCCAAGGUAAGGACCGGAGAAUCGGCCAACCUGGGAAUGCUUCAUCAGCCCCUGGACUGCUGACUCAAUCCUCUCUUUGAACUGCGGGAAUUGUGUAACUUUAGUGUGAGUUGAGCCCUGGGGUUCUAUUGCCAAGAUGGGGGGGUGGGGGCGGCGGGGAAGGCUGAUUAAAUUUGAGACAUGGCAGAUAAUGGCCAAAGGUAGGGGGAAAUGUGACCUCCCAGGGGAGGGAAUGAGACGGGGAGACAGGAUGUGUUUCAGAACUGUGGGCAUUGCA